UACGGAGGGUGCAAGCGUUAUCCGGAUUUAUUGGGUUUAAAGGGUCCGUAGGCGGCCUUAUAAGUCAGUGGUGAAAGCCUGUCGCUUAACGAUAGAACUGCCAUUGAUACUGUAAGUCUUGAGUAUAUUUGAGGUAGCUGGAAUAAGUAGUGUAGCGGUGAAAUGCAUAGAUAUUACUUAGAACACCAAUUGCGAAGGCAGGUUACCAAGAUAGAACUGACGCUGAGGGACGAAAGCGUGGGGAGCGAACAGG
rnacentral:rRNA from 1 species